GCGCAAGAGGGCAAACCCAGUGCUUGCACUGGGGGUUGUAGGACUGCAAUGUGCAAGAGGUAAGUUUAGCAGAACAUUCUGGAAAGUAUAACCAUAGAGGGUGAUAGUCCCGUAUGCGAAAAACAAACCUUAGCUAGCAGUAUCCUGAGUAGGGCGGGACACGAGGAAUCCUGUCUGAAUCCGGGUCGACCACGAUCCAACCCUAAAUACUAAUACCAGAUCGAUAGUGCACAAGUACCGUGAGGGAAAGGUGAAAAGAACUGAGGUGAUCAGAGUGAAAUAGAACCUGAAACCAUUUGCUUACAAUCAUUCAGAGCCCUAUGUAGCAAUACAGGGUGAUGGACUGCCUUUUGCAUAAUGAGCCUGCGAGUUGUGGUGUCUGGCAAGGUUAAGCAAACGCGAAGCCGUAGCGAAAGCGAGUCUGAAUAGGGCGCUUAGUCAGAUGCUGCAGACCCGAAACGAAGUGAUCUAUCCAUGAGCAAGUUGAAGCUAGUGUAAGAACUAGUGGAGGACUGAACCCAUAGGCGUUGAAAAGCCCCGGGAUGACUUGUGGAUAGGGGUGAAAGGCCAAUCAAACUUCGUGAUAGCUGGUUCUCUCCGAAAUAUAUUUAGGUAUAGCGUUGUGUCGUAAUAUAAGGGGGUAGAGCACUGAAUGGGCUAGGGCAUACACCAAUGUACCAAACCCUAUCAAACUCCGAAUACCUUAUAUGUAAUCACAGCAGUCAGGCGGCGAGUGAUAAAAUCCGUCGUCAAGAGGGAAACAACCCAGACUACCAGCUAAGGUCCCUAAAUCUUACUUAAGUGGAAAACGAUGUGAAGUUACUUAAACAACCAGGAGGUUGGCUUAGAAGCAGCCAUCCUUUAAAGAAAGCGUAAUAGCUCACUGGUCUAGUGAUUUUGCGCGGAAAAUAUAACGGGGCUAAAGUAAGUACCGAAGCUGUAGACUUGCACACAACUUAGAUUAUUUAAGUUUAGAAUAUGAGAAACUAAGUUAUAUGUUUAGUUAUAUUUUUACUGAUUUUUAUAGAGUAAAGAUAGAAAUAAAACUUAGUAAAAUCAGUAAAAAUAUUCUUAGACUAAAGUUAAGUAGUUUAAGUUGUGUGCAAGUGGUAGGAGAGCGUUCUAUUUGCGUCGAAGGUAUACCGGUAAGGAGUGCUGGAGCGAAUAGAAGUGAGCAUGCAGGCAUGAGUAGCGAUAAUUAAUGUGAGAAUCAUUAACGCCGUAAACCCAAGGUUUCCUACGCGAUGCUCGUCAUCGUAGGGUUAGUCGGGUCCUAAGUCGAGUCCGAAAGGGGUAGACGAUGGCAAAUUGGUUAAUAUUCCAAUACCAACAUUAGUGUGCGAUGGAAGGACGCUUAGGGCUAAGGGGGCUAGCGGAUGGAAGUGCUAGUCUAAGGUCGUAGGAGGUUGUACAGGCAAAUCCGUAUAACAAUACUCCGAGAACUGAAAGGCUUUUUGAAGUCUUCGGAUGGAUAGAAGAACCCCUGAUGCCGUCGAGCCAAGAAAAGUUUCUAAGUUUAGCUAAUGUUGCCCGUACCGUAAACCGACACAGGUGGGUGGGAUGAGUAUUCUAAGGCGCGUGGAAGAACUCUCUUUAAGGAACUCUGCAAAAUAGCACCGUAUCUUCGGUAUAAGGUGUGGUUAGCUUUGUAUUAGGAUUUACUCCGAAAGCAAGGAAACUUACAACAAAGAGUCCCUCCCGACUGUUUACCAAAAACACAGCACUCUGCUAACUCGUAAGAGGAUGUAUAGGGUGUGACGCCUGCCCGGUGCUCGAAGGUUAAUUGAUGGGGUUAGCAUUAGCGAAGCUCUUGAUCGAAGCCCGAGUAAACGGCGGCCGUAACUAUAACGGUCCUAAGGUAGCGAAAUUCCUUGUCGGUUAAAUACCGACCUGCAUGAAUGGCGUAACGAGAUGGGAGCUGUCUCAAAGAGGGAUCCAGUGAAAUUGUAGUGGAGGUGAAAAUUCCUCCUACCCGCGGCAAGACGGAAAGACCCCGUGGACCUUUACUACAGCUUGACACUGCUACUUGGAUAAGAAUGUGCAGGAUAGGUGGGAGGCUUUGAGUAUAUGACGCCAGUUGUAUAUGAGCCAUUGUUGAGAUACCACUCUUUCUUAUUUGGGUAGCUAACCAGCUUGAGUUAUCCUCAAGUGGGACAAUGUCUGGUGGGUAGUUUGACUGGGGCGGUCGCCUCCCAAAUAAUAACGGAGGCUUACAAAGGUUGGCUCAGAACGGUUGGAAAUCGUUCGUAGAGUAUAAAGGUAUAAGCCAGCUUAACUGCAAGACAUACAAGUCAAGCAGAGACGAAAGUCGGUCUUAGUGAUCCGGUGGUUCUGUGUGGAAGGGCCAUCGCUCAAAGGAUAAAAGGUACCCCGGGGAUAACAGGCUGAUCUCCCCCAAGAGCUCACAUCGACGGGGAGGUUUGGCACCUCGAUGUCGGCUCAUCGCAUCCUGGGGCUGGAGCAGGUCCCAAGGGUAUGGCUGUUCGCCAUUUAAAGCGGUACGCGAGCUGGGUUCAGAACGUCGUGAGACAGUUCGGUCCCUAUCUGCCGUGGGCGUAAGAAGAUUGAAGAGAUUUGACCCUAGUACGAGAGGACCGGGUUGAACAAACCACUGGUGUAGCUGUUGUUCUGCCAAGAGCAUCGCAGCGUAGCUAAGUUUGGAAAGGAUAAACGCUGAAAGCAUCUAAGCGUGAAGCCAACUCUAAGAUGAAUCUUCUCUAAGCUCUCUAGAAGACUACUAGUUUGAUAGGCUGGGUGUGUAAUGGAUGAAAGUCCUUUAGCUGACCAGUACUAAUAGAGCGUUUGGCUUAUCUUUAAUAAAGCAU
rnacentral:rRNA from 1 species